UGAAAAGCCUCUGAAUACAAUGUGGUAGUGU
rnacentral:piRNA from 1 species